AGGACGAACGCUGGCGGCGUGCCUAAUACAUGCAAGUCGAACGGUCUUUCUAUGGAAGCUUGCUUCCACUGAGAAGAUAGUGGCGAACGGGUGAGUAACACGUGGGUAACCUGCCCAUAAGAGGGGGAUAACAUCCGGAAACGGGUGCUAAUACCGCAUAGUUUUCUUGAUUGCAUGAUUGAGAAAGGAAAGACGGCCUUUGUGCUGUCGCUUAUGGAUGGACCCGCGGCGUAUUAGUUAGUUGGUGAGGUAACGGCUCACCAAGACGAUGAUACGUAGCCGACCUGAGAGGGUGAUCGGCCACAUUGGGACUGAGACACGGCCCAAACUCCUACGGGAGGCAGCAGUAGGGAAUCUUCCGCAAUGGACGAAAGUCUGACGGAGCAACGCCGCGUGAGUGAAGAAAAGGUUUUCGGAUCGUAAAACUCUGUUGUCAGAGAAGAACAAGUUGGAGAGUAACUGCUCCAGCCUUGACGGUAUCUGACCAGAAAGCCACGGCUAACUACGUGCCAGCAGCCGC
rnacentral:rRNA from 1 species